rnacentral:rRNA from 1 species
UACGUAGGGGGCAAGCGUUGUCCGGAUUUAUUGGGCGUAAAGAGCGUGUAGGCGGCCAAGCAGGUCCGCUGUGAAAACUCGAGGCUCAACCUCGAGACGUCGGUGGAAACCGUUUGGCUAGAGUCCGGAAGAGGAGAACGGAAUUCCCAGUGUAGCGGUGAAAUGCGCAGAUAUUGGGAAGAACACCAGUGGCGAAGGCGGUUCUCUGGGACGGUACUGACGCUGAGACGCGAAAGCGUGGGGAGCGAACAGG